rnacentral:rRNA from 1 species
AAUUUCUAGGUGCACUUUCCAGUACACCUACUAUGUUACGACUUAUCUCGCUUUAAUUAACGAGAGCGACGGGCGAUGUGUACAUAACCUAGAGCUAAAGUCAAAAAAUCUUAUUAAAAUCUUUUUACUCUUAAAUCCACCUUCAUAACAAGUAUUCAUUUAUUACUCCGUGUAUGCCUAUUAUAUUGUAACCCAUCUCUACUCUACCAUAAGCUGCACCUUGAUCUAAUUUAUUAGCUAAACUAUUGCAAUAACUCUAUAAUUUUUUUAAAGUUAUCUAAUAAUGACGGUAUACAAGCUGUUUUCUACAAGAUAAAGCAAGAUAUUGCGUGGACUAUCGAUUACAGGACAGGUUCCUCUAAAUAGACUAGGUUACCGCCAAAUCCUUUGAGUUUCAAGAUAAUAGCUGCUUAGUACCCAGGUAAUUAUCAUUUAAAUAAAGUGUAACAGGGUAUCUAAUCCUGGUUCAUUCCUCUAUCUUAAUAGCUUCAAUUUAAACUCCAUUUUUUGUACUUCCACAUACUAAAAAAUUAAUUUCACCUUUUAUCAGUAUGGACUUAUAAAUUUAUCUAAGUUAAAUAUUUAACUAUUUUUAACCGAUUUUCUUUCAAUCCGUCUCUCAGUAUAACCGCGGCUGCUGGCACAAAUUUUAGCCAGACGCACAAAUUAGGAUUACCAAUUCCAACUUACAUUUAUUUAAUUAGCACUAGGUAAUGAGACUUUAGCUUUUAAUGACCCCUCUAUUUUAUAAACAUUCAACGUUAUUUAAACCACUUAAACACUUAUUGGCCUGAUAGAUCUUACAUGUACCUUUAACCUAAAAAUGAAAGAAUAAGCCAGGAUAAAACUUUGC